GCUCGUCUUGAGAUCCAAAUGAAAAUUCAGUCUACUCUGAGAUGAGGACAGUUCUACAAGUUGACAGUCAGUCACAUUUUAAUUUGUUUCUGUAGUUUUGGACAAAGAAGAGGCAAUAUGCCAAUUCACUUGAUUAUUUAACUGGAAAUGUCUCUUGUCUACAUGGUCUGGACCAAUCUAUGUGACCUAUGCUGAGAUUGACUUCAGAAAGAUGGUCAAAACCCAGAAGAAGAAAAUCAACACCGCCGCCUGAGUCAGAAUAAGUCAAUUCUCCAAGAAAGACAGUCACAGUCCACAGUAAGACUAGAUCACCUGUAUUAUAGGGUAUGGAAAUAAUGGUUUGAAAUUAGAGUAUAUCUAAGUAGGUGUGCUGACAUGUUGCAGGUCCUUGAGGGAGAUGAACACAAUCAGUUGAGGAGCAGGAACAACCAGGGAAUGUGAACUUUGCACACACACUCUUUCUGUAGCUGCAGACAUUACACAGAAAUGUGACACACCCAUCACACACCCAGUCACGUAUGGGCCACACACACAGACAUAUGUUAUUUUAAAUGACAUGGGGUAAUGAUAAUAGGGUAAUGAUAAUGGAUGUUUUUUUUUUUAUCUUUGACUUCUUAAAUCAUUCAAAUAACUAAAUGAAAUAUCUGUAAAUUAAUUUCUCAAAAUAGAAGAAUUAUCCAGUUUUCUUGCAAUGGUCUUCAUUCUUUUUAAAUACUGUAUGUUUUAUACACCAGAUGGC
ensembl:lncRNA